CAGGCAGGGAGCUGUGGAGUGCAGACCAAGCACAGCGCAGCUGCCUGUUGGACCAGAAGCUGCUCAGGAGCAUGUGGGAAGAUCAGGAAGGCUUAUCAGAUAGUGUGCAGCAGUGAAACUGCCUCGUAAGGCAUAGUGUGGGAGACAGGGGUACUCUAGUGAAGACCAAGCUGGGAGCUUGCCAGGUGUGCGUGGUUAGAGUUAAGGUGAAUGGAAGCUUCUCCCAGGAUGAAAGUGAGCCCAUAUCUUUAUAAUGAAGUCAGCUGGUGUUUCAGGUUGCUACCUGCUUCUGCUCAGGUAAACUUUCCCAGUUUCUUGGCUGUCCUCAAGGCUGGCCCAGUAGCCAUUAUCUCAAUCUGAACUGGACCAAAGGAAAAGACGGAGGUGAUAUAAAUGGAGUAUUUGACCAACCUGUUAGCUUCAGCUUUGGAGGGGCACCAGAGAUUACUUAUCCUUGUUUUAUAAAAUUACAAGCAAGAAAAAAAGGAAAGAAAAUUAUUUGUCCUGGGUCCCCAAAAUGUCUGAACUACUGAAAACGGAUCCUCCAUCCACAGCAUUCUGGGUUGAUGAUACAACCUCCUCAUGGAAGAGAAGACAUGUUCAAACUGGAAAAAGUAAUGAGAAGAUCAGAGAACAGCACAAGGAAUGAGCGAUAUACUGAAAGAGUUCAUCCUUCAAAACAGAUGACUAAAGAAAGAUGGAAGAGAAAGUCCUUCUCCACUCAUGGAGAAGGCAAAGAGGGAAUGGUUUCUGUCAUUUACAGUAAAAGAACCAGAGUGCAGCAGAUGAGACUAGCUAGCUCCAACAAUGAGACUAACAAAAAGAGGUUACUUACACAACCUGUGGUUAAACUAUGGGAGUCUUUGCCACAAGAUCUUGUGAAUGGUAUAAGCUGAUCAAAGAAGAAUCCUUCUGAGGUAAUUUAAUGCAAAGAUCUCACUUAUAUCUAGGGAGA